UGCUGCACGGUAAACACUGGGAAGAAAGCGGGCAGAAUGAGACAUUCGGUGUGGCAGUGGUGUCAUGCAGAAACUGUGGAAGACAGUGAAAGAAUCCUGUCCCCAACACCCCAUGACCUCCUCUCCCUGGCACUCAGAUCUGGGGGCAGGGGACCAGACCAGGGCUAUAAAUACAACAGGGGGAGGUGCUGGGGGCUCAGGUUACUAGGCCCCAGCUGUCCCCACCAGAGGGACUUGGCUGGAGACAGGUGUCAAUGCCUUCUUGGAGGCCCAGUGUCACCCACCCCACACUUGUCAGUAUAUCCACACUCUUUGGGUUUUUGUCCUUUAUGAGACAAGCCCCUCCCCCCAUUAUAGUCAUUGUUCUGAGGGUCCCUUCUUCUCCUCAGGGUUCUACCCUUCUCUCCUACUGUGUCUUCCCUAAUCUCUCUCUACUGGUCUCUCUCUCUCUCUCUCCCCCUUUCUCUGUGUGUGUGUCUGUGUGUGUGUGUGUUGUGGGUGAUUCGUGUGUGCCUGUCUUUCUGUCUGCCUCUCUCUUUGUGUGUAUUGUGUGUGUGUAUGAGUCUCUGUCUCUCUGUCUCUUUCUCUCUGUGUGUGUCUCUCUCUCUGUGUGUCUCUCUCUCUGCCUCUCGGUGUAUGUUGUGUGUGUGCGAGUGUCUCUGUCUCUUUCUCUCUCUGCGUGUGUGUCUCUGUCUCCGUGUGUGAUUCUGUUUUUCUGUCUCUUCUCUCUGAUUCUGGGACUCUGUCGCUCUAUCACUUUGCAUUUCUAGCUGUCUCUCUCUCUGUCCUCUCUCUCUCUCUCUCUCUCUCUCUCUCUCUCUCUCUCUCUCUCUCUCUCUCUCUCUCUCUCUCUCUCUCUCUCUCGGUCUCUGCCCUCUUUUUUCUUUCUCUGGGCUGGGUCCCUCUCUUAGUUUCUGUCUCUGCCUCUUUUUGGGUCUUUCUCUCAGUCUCCGCCUCUCAGAAUCUAUGUUUGUCCCAUGGCUGAUAUCUAUCGUGUGCCCUACUCUGCUUCCUUCGUUUCUCUGCCUUCCAAGUCUGGGUCUUUCGUGUCCCCCAAGCCGACCCGAUCCGUGGUUUGGCAGCAGAGUCUGUCCCUGCUCGCAGCCGCCCUCUCCCCGCCUCCCGUGACGUGUCCCGGGACUCCCCGCCCCGGGCUGGGCUGCGAAGUUGCGGAUCCGGUUCGGUCGGGCGGGUCGGCGGCUGAGAGAAAUACACGGAGCCCCAGGGGCUGCGACGGCAGCAUGGUGGGGCAGGAGAAAGAGCAGAGUUGGAUCCCUAAGAUCUUCAGGAAGAAGGUGUGCACGACGUUCAUAGUGGACCUCCACGAUGAUGCGGGAGGGACCUUGUGCCAGUGUGGGCAACCUCGGGAUGCCCACCCUUCUGUGGCUGUGGAGGAUGCCUUUGGGGCAGCCGUAGUUACCGAGUGGAACAGUGAUGAGCACACCACGGAGAAGCCCACAGAUGCCUACGGGGACCUGGACUUCACAUACUCUGGCCGAAAGUCCAGCAACUUCCUCCGGCUGUCUGAUCGCACGGAUCCGGCCACUGUGUACAGUCUCGUCACCCGCUCUUGGGGCUUUCGUGCUCCAAACUUGGUGGUGUCAGUGCUGGGGGGGUCGGAGGGCCCCGUGCUACAGACCUGGCUGCAGGACCUUCUGCGUCGUGGGCUGGUGCGAGCAGCCCAGAGCACAGGGGCCUGGAUCGUCACUGGGGGACUGCACACAGGCAUUGGUCGGCAUGUGGGUGUGGCUGUGAGGGACCACCAGACGGCCAGCACCGGGGGCAGCAAGGUGGUGGCCAUGGGUGUGGCCCCCUGGGGAGUGGUCCGGAACAGAGACAUGCUGAUCAACCCCAAGGGCUCAUUCCCUGCAAGAUACCGGUGGCGUGGUGACCCUGAGGACGGAGUUGAGUUCCCCCUGGACUAUAACUAUUCUGCUUUCUUCUUGGUGGAUGAUGGUACCUAUGGCCGCAUGGGUGGUGAGAACCGCUUCCGCCUUCGGUUUGAGUCCUAUGUGGCUCAGCAGAAGACCGGAGUGGGAGGGACUGGAAUUGACAUCCCUGUACUCCUUCUUCUCAUCGAAGGCGAUGAGAAGAUGUUAAAGCGGAUAGAGGAUGCCACCCAGGCUCAGCUCCCCUGCCUCUUGGUGGCUGGCUCUGGGGGUGCUGCAGACUGCCUGGUGGAGACCCUGGAAGAUACUCUGGCCCCAGGGAGUGGGGGACUCAGGCGAGGUGAAGCCCGGGAUCGAAUUAGACGUUACUUCCCUAAAGGAGACCCCGAGGUCCUGCAGGCCCAGGUAGAGAGGAUCAUGACCCGAAAGGAGCUGCUGACAGUCUAUUCAUCAGAGGACGGCUCCGAGGAGUUUGAGACUAUCGUUUUGAGGGCUCUUGUGAAAGCCUGUGGGAGCUCCGAGGCCUCGGCUUACCUGGAUGAACUGCGUUUGGCUGUGGCUUGGAACCGCGUGGACAUCGCCCAAAGUGAACUUUUCCGUGGGGACAUCCAGUGGCGGUCCUUCCACCUGGAGGCCUCUCUCAUGGACGCUCUGCUGAAUGACCGGCCUGAGUUUGUGCGCUUGCUCAUCUCCCAUGGCCUUAGUCUGGGACACUUCCUGACCCCCGUGCGCCUGGCCCAGCUGUACAGCGCAGUGUCCCCCAACUCGCUGAUCCGCAAUCUUCUGGACCAGGCGUCCCACGCUAGUAGCAGCAAAUCUCCACCUGCAAAUGGAGCUGCAGAGCUCCGGCCUCCUAAUGUGGGGCAAGUUCUGAGGACUCUGUUGGGAGAAACGUGUGCACCGCGGUACCCCGCCAGGAACACCCGACACUCCCUGCUGGGCCAGGACCACAGAGAGAAUGACUCUCUGCUCAUGGACUGGGCCAACAUGCAACAGGAUGCAAGCUUUGAACAAGCCCCCUGGAGUGACCUGCUUAUCUGGGCUCUGUUGUUGAACCGAGCCCAGAUGGCCAUUUAUUUCUGGGAGAAGGGCUCCAACUCAGUGGCCUCUGCUCUCGGGGCUUGUCUCUUACUCCGAGUGAUGGCUCGCCUUGAGUGGGAGGCUGAGGAAGCUGCACGGCGGAAGGACCUUGCUGCCAAGUUUGAAAGCAUGAGCGUGGACCUCUUUGGAGAGUGUUACCACAACAGUGAAUAUCGAGCAGCCCGCCUUCUUCUGCGUCGCUGUCCCCUCUGGGGAGAGGCCACCUGUCUCCAGCUUGCCAUGCAGGCUGACGCCCGUGCGUUCUUUGCCCAGGAUGGAGUACAGUCUCUGCUGACACAGAAGUGGUGGGGGGAGAUGGACAGCACGAACCCUAUCUGGGCCCUGCUUCUCACCUUCUUCUGCCCGCCUCUCAUCUACACCAACCUCAUCCUCUUCAGGAAGUCAGAGGAGGAGCCCACACAGAAGGAUCUUGACUUCGAUAUGGACAGCAGCAUGAAUGGAGCAGGUCCUCUUGGGCCUGCGGAGCCCUCAGCAAAGGUGGCCCUUGAGAGGCGGCGGCGGCGGCGGCCAGGACAUACCCUCUGCUGUGGCGGGUGCUCCAAGCGCUGGUCGUACUUUUGGGGCGCCCCAGUGACCGCCUUCCUGGGUAACGUGGUCAGUUACCUGCUGUUCCUGCUGCUGUUUGCACACGUGUUGCUGGUGGAUUUCCAGCCUACAAAGCCGGGCGUCUUCGAGCUGCUGCUGUACUUCUGGGCCUUCACGCUGCUAUGCGAGGAGCUGCGCCAGGGCCUGGGCGGUGGCUGGGGUACCCUGGCCAACGGGGGACCUGGUCCUGGCAAAGCUCCCCUGCGCCAUCGUCUGCACCUCUACCUCUUGGAUACUUGGAACCAGUGCGACUUGCUGGCACUCACCUGCUUCCUGCUGGGCGUUGGCUGCAGGCUGACUCCUGGCCUGUUUGACUUGGGACGCACAGUCCUCUGUCUUGACUUCAUGAUCUUCACACUGCGCCUGCUGCACAUCUUCACGGUGAACAAGCAGCUGGGGCCCAAGAUUGUCAUCGUGAGCAAGAUGAUGAAGGAUGUAUUCUUUUUCCUCUUCUUCCUCUGCGUGUGGCUUGUAGCUUAUGGGGUGGCCACAGAGGGGAUCCUGAGGCCCCAGGACCGCAGUCUACCGAGCAUCCUGCGCAGGGUCUUCUACCGUCCGUAUCUGCAGAUCUUCGGACAAAUUCCCCAGGAGGAAAUGGAUGUGGCCCUCAUGAAUCCCAGUAACUGCUCUGCCGAGCGGGGCUCCUGGGCUCACCCGGAGGGGCCGGUCGCAGGCUCCUGUGUGUCCCAGUAUGCCAACUGGCUGGUGGUGUUGCUCCUCAUCGUCUUCUUGCUGGUGGCCAAUAUCCUGCUGCUCAAUCUGCUCAUCGCCAUGUUCAGCUACACCUUCAACAAAGUGCAUGGCAACAGCGACCUCUACUGGAAGGCGCAGCGCUACAGCCUCAUCCGGGAAUUCCAUUCGCGGCCUGCCCUGGCCCCACCCCUCAUCAUCAUCUCUCACCUGCGUCUCCUCUUCAAGUGGCUGCGCAGGUGUCAUAGGACUAACUUGCCCGCCUCCCCAGUCUUCGAGCACUUCCGUGUCUGUCUCUCUAAGGAAGCAGAGAGGACGCUGCUGACUUGGGAGUCUGUGCACAAAGAGAACUUCCUAUUGGCACAAGCUCGUGACAAGCGAGACAGCGACUCGGAGCGUCUGAAACGCACGUCCCAGAAGGUGGACACUGCACUGAAGCAGCUGGGACAGAUCAGAGAGUAUGACCGGCGUCUGAGGGGGCUGGAGAGAGAGGUCCAACACUGUUCUCGAGUCCUGACUUGGAUGGCUGAGGCCCUUAGCCACUCUGCCUUACUGCCUCCAGGGGGGCCACCCCCUCCAAGCCCCACUGGGUCCAAAGGUUACAGUCCGUCAGUGAGGGAAGCAGGGCGAGAACUUGGACGUUCUCACCUAUAACCAGAAAGCUCGCAGCUAAAGAAAUGCACCAGAAGCCACAGAACAACGCUGUCCACUGGACCACAGCGCCUUCCACUCAGCCAGCUUCAGCAUCCAGUUCGAGACUCCUCACCCGAGGAGAUAGCAUUACUGAGUGUCCCUGGUGGACAUCUAGGUGUUUGCAUCCUGAGAGGGUUCAUUCCGAGAGCUGCGCCCAGUCUGCCUCAAGCUACACAACUGGUGGCCUUGUCCUCACCGUAGACCCCAUGUUCAGGGGUUGCUGUCUCGCCAGAGGGACUGCCUUCCAGGAGCAGCCUGACCUUGGGCAGAUCAAGCUCUGAGCUGGCAAUGUUGGCCCCUUUGUGGGCCCAGCCACAAGCAGAGGAGGCCAGAAGGUCCUGGGGUGCAGGAACCACAGACCCUAUGCACAGCUUCCCCACAAUGGGGAAAUAAAGCCAUUUGAUGAGAAUUACA